rnacentral:rRNA from 1 species
CCUACGGGAGGCAGCAGUGGGGAAUAUUGGGCAAUGGGCGCAAGCCUGACCCAGCAACGCCGCGUGAAGGAAGAAGGCUUUCGGGUUGUAAACUUCUUUUCUCAGGGACGAAGCAAGUGACGGUACCUGAGUAAUAAGCCACUGCUCACUACGUGCCAGCAGCCGCGGUAAUACGUAGGUGGCAAGCGUUAUCCGGAUUUACUGGGUGGAAAGGGCGUGUAGGCGGGACUGCAAGUCAGAUGUGAAAACCAAGGGCUCCACCUGGGGUCUGCAUUUGAUACUUUAGUUCUUGAGUACGGGAGAGGCAGACGGAAUUCCUAGUGUAGGGGUGAAAUGCGUAGAGAUUAGGAGGAACACCAGUGGCGAAGGCGAUCUGCUGGACAGCAACUGACGCUGAGGCGCGAAAGCGUGGGGAGCAAACAGGAUUAGAUACCCGAGUAGUC